rnacentral:tRNA from 2 species
GUCUCAGUAGCUCAGGGGAUAGAGCAGCGGUCUUCUAAACCGCGGGUCGGGGGUUCAAAUCCCUCCUGAGACG